rnacentral:tRNA from 1 species
GGGCCCGUAGCUCAGCCUGGUAGAGCGCCCGCUUGGCAGGCGGGAGGCCCCGGGUUCAAAUCCCGGCGGGUCCACCA